AUUUCCCAUUUUCACACACAUCAUCACGAGAGAGAGAGAGAGAAGGGCAGGGAAUUUCUGGGUUUAGAUUAUUAUUGAUUAUUAUUGUUAUUAUUAUUAUUAUUAUCAUUAUUUACUGUCCUCUUCCAGCCCACCUUCCUCUCCAACCCAUCUCCGCCAAGUCUUCUAUUCUCUCUUCCCCAUUUCCUCUCUCUCUCUCUCUCUCUCCUCUCAAUCGCAUCGCACCCACCCUUUCUCUUCGUUCCCUUCCGCCAAAGGACUUUUAUUGCGUUCUCAUUAAGAAGAAACACGAAAAUACAGAGCGAGUGCGAGAGUAGAUUUGCGGAGAGAGCGAGGGAGACUUGUCUACUGUUCCUUGUGGGUUUCUUCUUCAUCGGUUUCUUUUGUUUUUUUUUCUUCUUCUUAUUUUUGGGGGAAAACAAGAACAAAAAUUCAUUUUUUUUACAAAAAAAUUAAGUUAAGUGACCGACCGAUUGAUAAAUCAAUCGAUCUUCGUAGCCGAUCGUCAUCCUCCUGCGUUAGUCAGGAGUUUCGAGGAAAUUUGAUAUUUUUAUUCGAAGAAAUUUUGAGGGAAAAAUAAGGAAGACCACCCUCGCUCAGGGUUUUCUCAGCGGUUCUGGUGCUUAUACAGUCUUGUAAAACCUGAAGCUACUGGUCUCCAACCCACAAUAGGAC